GAGGAAAGUCCGGGCUCCACGAAACAACGGUGCCGGAUAAUGCCCGGCGGGGGUGACCCCAGGGAAAGUGCCACACAGAGAGCAGACCGCCCCGGCGCAAGCCAAGGGUAAGGGUGAAAGGGUGCGGCAAGAGCGCACCGCGCGGCUGGUAACAGGCGCGGCACGGCAAACCCCACCGGGAGCAAGACCGAAUAGGGGCGGCGUGAGGUUUCGGCCUCAGGGCACGUUUCGGCCCGUCGCCCGGGUUGGUUGCUUGAGCCGUUCCGCAAGGAUCGGCCUAGAGGAAUGGUCGCCUAUCCCCGCUUGGGGUGGACAGAAUCCGGCUUA
rnacentral:RNase_P_RNA from 1 species